UUUAUCAAUCAAAUCACAUAUUACAUCUUUACUUUCUCUCUCGCUUUUCUUUAUCAAUUAAAUGAGGUGUGAACAAGGGCGGACCCACGUUAGAGUUAGAUGAACCCCCUGAAAAAAAAAAUUCCCACUUACCCCCUUGUAUAAUAUAUUUUUUGAACCCCUUGAAAAAUUUAAUUUGCACAAAAGACCCUCUCUCUCUCAGACACGCACUCACCACUCAGCCCCUCAUUCCUCACCCUCUUUCUCUCACAACCCUAGGUCAAGCACACACACACGCACCAGAGCACCACCGGCCACCACCACGCCACCACCAGUCCACCACGCACCCUGCGCUGCGCCUCUGCCUCUGGGAUCGAUGUUGGUAGCCUUGCCUCCGUCGCGGUUACGAAUGCUUCCGUGUUGAAGCUGGUUGUCAACAAUGGGGAAAAGAUCAACGCGUUGGUUGAUUACGAGGCUGGUUCGAAAACGUUGGAGGUUCGUUUGAGCAAAUUGGGUGAACCCAGAUCUUAAGAUCCAAUCGUUUCGCACCGCAUUGAUCUGUUCAACCUCUGAGAUCGCAAACCUGUGUUCGUGGUUCCAACUGAAGGAAUGAAAGGCGGCUUGGCCAUUCCGUGGAGGAAAAACGCUUUGGUGAUUAAUAGGGUGGUAAAAAAUCAAAGGUUUUUUGGCAGUGAUUCUGAAUGAAGUUGUGUUCUGUUUCAAUAAUUGUGAGAGUGGCAGUGGGUAGUUGGAAGGAACACUGAUUUAUGUGUUGAUUGCAUUUGUGCUGCUGCAACUUGAAGGAAAUCUGAUUUGUGUUUUUGAAUGCUCAUACGCUGCUGCAACUGGGAGGAAUUCUGGUUUGUGUUUUUUUAUUGCAGAUUUGCUGACAGAUUUAUGUACUUGAUGGAGAGGCUAGAAAGGGUUGCAGGUCCUCAUAUUAAUUGCUGAGUUCAAGGGUGAGAGGACUGCCAAAGAUUUGUUACAAUGGUUAUGAAUUGGGAUGUUAGAAUCUUGAGGAUUAUGCAGAAAUCUCGCGGGCAAUGGAGAGUGGAAGAGUGGCUUUGGUAUUGGUUGGCUACUGGGGUGCUUGUGGUGCUGUUCAUGUGGGUCAUCUUCUUCCACAAGCAUGAGGAAGAGUCUCUGGCUAAACUCCCUAACUACCCUGCAGAUGUAAGGUAUGAGAGAAUUGAUGUGUCUGUUGAGAAGCAUACAAAAGAUGAUGAAAAUUAGAGGCAUAGGUUAUGUGAUUUGUGAUUUUUUAGAUGAUGUUGUUCUUGUUGUUGUUGUGUAUCUGUAUGAUGUGUAAAAUUCUUUUGUAGGAGAUUAUGAUUAUGAUAUUGUAGAUUUACUGUAACCAAUCAUGUAAAAUAUUUGAACAUCUUGUUUUGGGAGCCACUUUGAUUACAAUCUUGUUUAUCAAUUUUUGCA